rnacentral:rRNA from 1 species
GACGAACGCUGGCGGCGUGCUUAACACAUGCAAGUCGAACGGAAAGGCCCUGCUUUUGUGGGUUGCUCGAGUGGCGAACGGGUGAGUAACACGUGAGUAACCUGCCCUUGACUUUGGGAUAACUUCAGGAAACUGGGGCUAAUACCGGAUAGGAGCUCCUGCUGCAUGGUGGGGGUUGGAAAGUUUCGGCGGUUGGGGAUGGACUCGCGGCUUAUCAGCUUGUUGGUGGGGUAGUGGCUUACCAAGGCUUUGACGGGUAGCCGGCCUGAGAGGGUGACCGGCGACAUUGGGACUGAGAUACGGCCCAGACGCCUACGGGAGGCAGCAGUGGGGAAUAUUGCACAAUGGGCGGAAGCCUGAUGCAGCAACGCCGCGUGCGGGAUGACGGCCUUCGGGUUGUAAACCGCUUUCGCCUGUGACGAAGCGUGAGUGACGGUAAUGGGUAAAGAAGCACCGGCUAACUACGUG